CAACACUUCUCCUCUUCAAUAAUUUUUCUUUUCCUAUUACUCCCCUAAACUAAUUAAAAUCGUAAUUUUGAUAACCUUAGUACCUACGUGGCACAACACGCUAAAGGGUCCACGUAGGCACACAUGUGUGCCACGUAUGUGCCAUCUAUUUUUUUCUAUGAAAAUGUAUUAUGAAUCAGUUAGAUAAAACUGUAUCUACAUCACCAUUUUGAAAUUAAAUUUAUUUUGUCUAUUUUUUUUUAAUUUCAAAAAAUAAGAUAAUUAUUAAUUAAUCAAAAAAAUAUGAAUAUGUUAGUAAAAAGGGUGUAACUAUACAAUUUCAUAGACGGCAAAGAAGAGAAAAAGAAGAUUACCAAGCAGAUAAUUGAAGCAAUAGAUGAGGGGAAAAAGGUGGUCAGAUUCAAAGAAUUUGAAGGAGAUUUAGUGGAUAAAUAUGAUAACUGGAAGGCAACUCUUCAUAUCAAGCAAAAAGGUGAAAUCAAUUUGGUAUGCUGGACAAUGGAGUAUGAAAGGCCAAAUGAGAAUGCUCCUGAACUAAUAAAUUUGCUGGACUUCCUUGUUGGUAUGACCAAAGCUAUUGAUGAUCACCAUGUUAAGAUGAAUUAAUGGAAUUAAGCUAAUGCUUGCUAGGUGUGCGCUUGAAAUAAAUACCUCAUGUUGUGUUGGAAGGUGUGGAGGAUGAAGAUUACGGGUUAGAGGGUUAGAGGGUGGGAGGGUGUCGGUGACAGCAGGGGAGUGUUCUGUAUUUGUAUCUGAAGUUUCUCGUUCAUAGUUGUCUAUGGUUUGAUCAGAUUUAUAGUUUUAGUAUUAUGUUGUGGCUAGCACUGUUAGUUUAUUCUGCAAAUGGUACAAGUUUAUAUGCAUUCAUGUA